AUUGAACGCUGGCGGCAGGCCUAACACAUGCAAGUCGAACGGUAACAGCAUACAUCUUUCUGUUUCUCUGACGAGUGGCGGACGGGUGAGUAAUGUCUGGGCAACUGCCUGCUGUAGGGGGAUAACUACUGGAAACGGUAGCUACUACCUCAUAACGUCUCAAGCCCAAAGAGGGUGACCCUCUGGCCUCUUGCCAUCGUAUGUUCCCAGAUGGGAUUAGAUUGUUGGUGGGGUUACCUCUCACCAGGUCGACGAUCCCUAGCUGGUCUGAGAGGAUGGCAGGCGACACUGGAACUGAGACACGGUCCAGACGACUACGGGAGGGAGCAGAGGGGAAUAUUGCGCAGCAGGGGCAAGCAUGAUGCAGCGAGGCGGCGUGUAUGAAGGAGGCCUUCGGGUUGGAAAGUACGUUCAGCGGGGGGGAAGGGAGUAAAGUUAAGACGUAGGCUCAUUGACGUUACCGGGAGAAGAAGCACCGGCUAACUACGUG
rnacentral:rRNA from 1 species